UGGGGAAUAUUGGACAAUGGGCGAAAGCCUGAUCCAGCAAUGCCGCGUGCAGGAAGAAGGCCUUCGGGUUGUAAACUGCUUUUGUACGGAACGAAAAGGCUCUUUCUAAUAAAGAGGGCCCAUGACGGUACCGUAAGAAUAAGCACCGGCUAACUACGUGCCAGCAGCCGCGGUAAUACGUAGGGUGCAAGCGUUAAUCGGAAUUACUGGGCGUAAAGCGUGCGCAGGCGGUUAUGCAAGACAGAUGUGAAAUCCCCGGGCUCAACCUGGGAACUGCAUUUGUGACUGUAUAGCUAGAGUACGGUAGAGGGGGAUGGAAUUCCGCGUGUAGCAGCGAAAUGCGUAGAUAUGCGGAGGAACACCGAUGGCGAAGGCAAUCCCCUGGACCUGUACUGACGCUCAUGCACGAAAGCGUGGGGAGCAAACAGGAUUAGAUACCCCGGUAGUCCCUGAGCGGGCUGGCAAGGCGCAU
rnacentral:rRNA from 1 species